rnacentral:rRNA from 1 species
GACGAACGCUGGCGGCGUGCUUAACACAUGCAAGUCGAACGGAAAGGCCCUGCUUUUGUGGGGUGCUCGAGUGGCGAACGGGUGAGUAACACGUGAGUAACCUGCCCUUGACUUUGGGAUAACUUCAGGAAACGGGGGCUAAGACCGUAUAGGAGCUCCUGCUGCAUGGUGGGGGUUGGAAAGUUUCGGCGGUUGGGGAUGGACUCGCGGCUUAUCAGCUUGUUGGUGGGGUAGGUGCUUACCAAGGCUUUGACGGGUAGCCGGCCUGAGAGGGUGACCGGCCACAUUGGGACUGAGAUACGGCCCAGACUCCUACGGGAGGCAGCAGUGGGGAAUAUUGCACAAUGGGAGGAAGCCUGAUGCAGCAACGCCGCGUGCGGGAUGACGGCCUUCGGGUUGUAAACCGCUUUCGCCUGUGACGAAGCGUGAGUGACGGUAAUGGGUAAAGAAGCACCGGCUAACUACGUG